CCCUUAGAUGUUCUGGGCCGCACGCGCGCUACACUGACGAAUGCAACGAGCUUAUAACCUUGGCCGAAAGGUCUGGGUAAUCUCCAAAUUUCGUCGUGAUGGGGAUAGAUUAUUGCAAUUAUUAAUCUUCAACGAGGAAUGCCUAGUAAGCGCAAGUCAUCAGCUUGCGUUGAUUACGUCCCUGCCCUUUGUACACACCGCCCGUCGCUCCUACCGAUUGAGUGUUCCGGUGAAUAAUUCGGACUGCAGUAGCGUGAGGACUCCUCACCUGCAGCGGAAAGUUUGGUGAACCUUAACACUUAGAGGAAGGAGAAGUCGUAACA
rnacentral:rRNA from 1 species